UAUAUCUAUUUACAUAAAUUUAUUUUUCUACUACUAUGGGCUAACAGUUAACAUAGAAACAAUCAGCCAUACAUUUAAAUGCCCUCUGUAAAUAGACAGUAUUACAUGCUGCCGCUGGUAGGGGCAGUAA